UUGUGUCUUUUUGUAUUAUCUAUUGUCUCUAUCAGAUGUAUAACUGUACUUUUGUAUUUACUACAGAGAGAAAGAUGAAGCUGUAGCAAUAGAGGAAGGGAGAAUACUGAAGAAAAAUAAGAUUAAACCUGCAGCACCAAAGUAAAACAGACCCUGGAAUCAAGACCUCUCCAGGGUUCCUGUUGGCUACUCUACCAAUGACUGCACUACUUCCGUCCACCUAACAUCACCU